CUCAAGUAAUCCACCCACUUUGGCCUCCCAAAGUGCUGGGAUUAUAGGCAUGAGCCAUCACGCCUGGCCCCUCUGUCAAUCUUGAGUCUCCAUGCAUAUAUUCUGAGGUUACACUCAUAGACACUUUCAGGGGCCAGGAAGCUGACAAGCUAGGGAGUAAACACCCUAUGAGAAAGUCACAGCCAGCCCUCAGGGAGGGCUUGACAUGAUGCCCGAAGACUCCAGCUGGUAAGUGGUGCUGAAACGUGGGACCUUGACCCUGGCUUUUUCCCUGUGUGCCAAAAGAGCUGCUGUUUUACUGCUUCAUGUGGCAGGGAUAUGGGGCAGACAUCCUUGUCACCGGGGUGAGCCUGGCUGUAGCCCUGACCCUAAGUCCCAUGGCUGGGGAGUACCUGCUCUGUGGGCAACACCUCGGCCCUCCUUGCAUGGCUGAAGGCUGAGACCUGGGAGUGUGUUAGGAAGUCCAUUGUGACCAUGCACCCAUAUUGUUUUCCACUACAGCUGCAUCUGCACAGCCUUAAUGUUUUGCCCAGAUGCCGAUUAAUGAGCCUGAGCACCCACAGUUCAGUGCUAAAAACAUAGGUGCUCCCAGAGGCACUCUACCCCCAGGAGACCUGCCCUCAGGAGCUGCCUUGAACAGAGGCACAGGGAGAUUGUGCUCUCCUUCUUGCAGGCCAUCCAUAGCCCAUGACAGUCAGAAAUAAACGUGUGAUGCUCACUCUUCCCCCCACAACCCAGAGUAACCUGGGACUGUGCACCCUCCCCGAAUUUCCAGUGCACUCAGGUUGAGGCUAGGAUUCAGCUAUGACCAGUCCUUGGCCUGACUCUUCUUUUGCUAUAAACUGCACCUCUCACUGGCUUCUCCUAAGAGCACCUCCCUAAUAAGUCAUUAGCCCCAGAAUCCCAUCUUAAGCUGUGCUUCUGGGAAACUGGCCUAAGGCAAAGAGAGGAGCUUAAGAUUACAAUUUUCUCUGACUUCUGUAUUUCCUAGCCCAGGACUUGUACUCAAAUCUGCUCAAAAACUGAGUCUUCAUGUGACUAGCUGACCUGUGACUACUGACCAGUGAUGUCAUGGAGAGAGAGGGAGUCCCAUCUCCUGGCUGAACUUGACCCUGUCUGGGCAGGCUAUGAAUGGACAUAACUAAAGGCUGAACACUCACUGGAGCAGGGCAUGGGAUGUGGGAAAUUCACAUCCCCUCUGGUUCUCAUUUUCAAGCGCACGCAAGUGGGGAAAAGGAAGCCACUGGUUUUCAGACUGAAAUGCAUGGGCGUUUAGUGGUUCCUGAGAACCGCUACAGGUAAAGGCAACCCAGCUGCGUGCACGUGUCUGACCCCAGAACUGCCUCGUCUCUGACUGUGGGCUUUGAGGAGAUGGGUUAAGGGCAAACCUCAGGGAAUCCCACCUGGCACGGAGUAGAGAAAGCAUCUGGAGCUUGUUAUACAGGAGUUGGCACGAGCUGGGCAUCUCUCCAAGCUCAGGAGGUUUCAUGGAAAUUCCUAGAUGAGAGAUGUUUACAAGUUGUGUCCCCAGAUAAACCACCAUGUUUCCCCCCAAGAGGUCCCUCAAGGUCUCCAUCGAAGCCAGCGUGCUGGGUCAUAACAGCUGUAAGCAGAGAUGCUUCUGACCUCACUGAUGAGAAGAACGCUGACUGCCUAGCUUGUGUCAUUAAGUGACUUUUAAUGACGAUAAACGUGUCUUCCUGCAUUCUCCUUCAGCCUUCUCUACAAAAUCGUUUUCCUACAGAUUCAACGGACUGGUAACGCACUUUUACUAUCCACAGUUGAUUUAAUAAUCUUCUUUUUUGUGUGUGGUAGCUUGCUGAAGUCAAAGAGGCUCUGACCAACAGGAAAUACUUGAUCACUCCUCUAAGAAAAUGUCAGAGAAAGAGGAAAUACCCGCACAGACAUGGGUCAUUUAAAAAAAAAAAAUGCACCUUUGCCAUUUUGUUGACAAAAAGCAGAUCACCUUGGCAAAGGACAUUCUAGAAUCUCUCCAGGAGAAUGGAGUGCUUUUUUUUUUUUUUUUCGUUUUAUAUAUAGACGUGUUUUGGGUUUUUUUUUUUUUCUUUUUGGCUAUUUCAAUUUGCAUAUUUGAAAACAACUGAAAAAGCAAUUAAUUCAAAUCUAAAUAACUUCCAUGCUCAGAAUUAUGUUUAUGGUCUUUCAGCAGACAAAUUUAUGGGGACGUCUGGGGACCAGGCCUCUGACACAGAAUAAGCAUCAAUCUCUCCUGGAGACUGGUCGCGGGUUUAUUUCUGAAACUUGUGUGGAAUGAGGGAGCAAAUCUAGAGUGUUUAAGAUCUAAUAAUAAUCACACACUUUAACACAUUCAAAUUAUGAUAUUUCAGGAGGCAGCAACCUUGGCUUUGCUUAUAGCUCUAAGCAGGGCUAUUCCCAGAGGAGGACUGUCCUUCUGAGGAAAGAAGACAUGGAGCUGGUUACAAUCCCAGGGAGGAUGUCUGCACAGAGAGGUAUUUUUCGUUUUUUUUUUUUUUCCCCUCAAUACAAUUUACACAGAAGGGGCUUGCUGCCAAUGUGAUAAUUGAGAAACACCUGGUGAAAAUCUCUCUCUAUUAAUUGACAAUGGCUUUCUCCUCCCCAGUUCUCAUCCCUCAGAAAGAAAAAAAGGCAAAAAAAAAAAAAAAAUGGAGGAAAAAAACGAGCAACCAAGAGAGUUUGAGACAUAUAAUCUCCAAGGCCAAAAGGAAAGACAUAUAAUUUUCAAGGCCAAAGGAAAUAAGGCAGGAAUUUGAUGGGUGAUUAAUGGCCAUGCUGGAGCAGUGGGAGUGGUGCUGAUGUCAGAGCCUCCAACAAUGAUUCCUCUUUGGAAAGAGGAAAAGGCAAGUGGAUCCCAAAAUAGCCAUUUUUUAAAAUCAAUUUUCUGAAACCUGUGAUAUUCUUCCUGGGUAAACUUGAAGCUCCAGAAAAGAGGUGGUCCCUCCUGGAAGAAGCAGUGAAUGGGCUUUCCUAGUCUCAAAUUCCACUGGACUCACCCACCUACCAGUCCCAAAGGAUUGGCUGCAUCCCAGAACCUCCCUGGACCCUUUGUUUUCACAGCAGCUCCUAGGAAAACACAUCACCCAGAGAGCUUCAUCACUGACGAUCUGAACGCGUUGUGCACAGAGAUUUGACCAGCGGGAAGCUGGUCAAAUGCAUAACUGAAAUUCGAUGUGUUUUUUCUGUUCUAAUUGCGGUAAAGGAUGUACUUUUGCAGUCGGUCUGGAUCACUCCUGAGAAAGAGAAAUAAAUCCUGUGUGAAUUUCAUUUCUCAAAAGAAGGUAUGCAGAGUGCUAGGUUUGUGAACUCUCUUCGUAUAUCGCUCCAAUAGUAGCUUUAUGUCAUAUAUAUAGUUGGUAGUCAAAAAUUAUUUAGAAGAUGAAAGCAAUGAAUAAAAGAUAAUUGAUUAUCUCCUUAAAAAUCUGUUGGUUCCUUAUAUAAUUCUGGUUAAAAUCCUAGAGCUGAGAUUAUUAAACUAUAUGAUCUGGGAAAUUCACAUCACCUCUGGCUCUAACUUUCAAGUGCACACACAAGUUGGGAAAACUAAGCCACUGGUUUUCAGACUGAGACGUAUGAAAGUUGAGUGGUUCCUGAGAAAUGCUUCAGCUGAAGAAGGGUUCAAGGGCAUAGAACUUCCCCUAGACUAUACCUGCUUCUCUUACUUAACUGGAACAAUUAUUCACAUCUUACUUUUAAUCAUUGGGUGUAAUUUAUAUACAAUGAAAUUCACCAAUUCCACGUAUAUCAGUUUGAUAAAUUUUGACAAAUGCACAUGGUUUGUAACUCCCACCACCAAGAUGUAGACUACUUCCAUGAUGCCAAAAAGUUUCUUCAGGCUCCUUUGUAGUCAUUCCUCUUUUCCUACCAUGAUCACAAAAACAAUUGCUUUCAUUAGUUUUUAUUUCUUCUGGAAUUUUACAUCAACAGAAUUAUAUAAUAUGAAGAAGUUUUAUUUGUCUGAUUUAUUUCAUUCCACAUAAUACUUCUGAGAUUCAUCCAUAUUAUGGGGAGUAGUAAUUUCUUUUUUAUUGAUAAGUAAUAUCCUCUUGGAUGACUAUACUACAAUUUGUUCACCCAUUUUCUAGUGGAUAGACAUAUGAGUUGUUUCCAGUUUGGGGCUCUUAGGAAUAAUGCUACUCUGAACAUCCAUGAAACAAGUCUUUGUGUGAAAGUAUAUUUUCAUUUCUCUUAGGAAAAUAUCUAAAAGAGAUUUUUCCAUUAUAUGGUCAUUAUGUGUUUAGCUUUAUAAAGAAGUUCCAAACUGUUUUUUCAGAGUGAAUGUACCAUUUUGUAUUGUCAACAUCAGUGUGCGAAGGUUCUAGUAACUCCACAUACUGGUCAACUUUUGAUAUUUUCAGGCUUUUAAAUUUUAGUCAUGCAUGUAGUGGUAUCUCGUUGUGGUUUUAAAUUGCGUUUCUCUAAUGACUAAUAAAGUUGGGUGUAGUUUUACGUCUUUAUUUGCCAUUUUGUGCCAAGUCACGAAAGUCCUUUAUAAGAUUAUGGCUGGAAAAGGACAAGAAAGAAGCCUCAUUGACAAUUACUACUUAUCUAACAAGCACCAAAAGAAGCAACAGCACUCUACCACUGGAGAACAGGCAAAAGCAUGGCAAAAGGGGAGACAUUGUUCACUGGAUGUUGGAGAAGAGAUGAAAAACAUAAAGGAGAAGGCAGUUUAGCAAUGGGAUGGAGACAAAAAAGAAUCCUUUAAUCACAAGAAAUUCAAGGGAUCUUCAUCCUCCUCUCCCCUUCAGAAAGGAGCGAGGCCUGUCUGAUAAGGAACAGAAAGAGUUGGACUCUCACUGGAAUGGAUGCAGAAUCUUGGCCUCUGCAAUCCCACCGCCAGAACCACUGAAGGAAACCCUGCCUGAGAGUGAAGGCAGCACAAAAGCAGCGGAAUUGAGAAAGGAAGAGAGGCUUUGUUUAUGAAUCUGCCCAAAGGGAUCCCUUGAACUUUCCAGUCAAAUAAACCAAUAGAUUCUGUUUUCUUUUA